rnacentral:lncRNA from 1 species
UGGUGAAUGAGGUUAGGCGUAUUGGUUUGAAUCUCCAUCAAUGCAACUAAAAACAUGUUCUCAGUGAAACAAAUACAUUGGCAGAUGCAUUUUCGAACUUUGGUUUAUCUAUUUCUAAAGGGUCAUUGCUCUAGUGGACUACUUUGAUAUGUGGUCCAUUUUGGACAAGAAUUGUUAGUCAUUAGGUUAAAUGGUUAUUAUAGGCAAGUACACACCCGAUUCCCACCAAUUUUGUUGAGGUCCAUGGCCAUGUGGUGGAAGAUGUAGGAGAGCCAUUCGGAGGUGUAGUUGCAGAGGACAGUGGCGUUGAGGGGAG